GGUUGUUUGCCUCAGGUCCAAUCAGUGGAUGCCCAGCUGGUUGUUCGGUGCGAGGGAAUGACGUCUGAUCAUCAGUGAUCAGUGCUGAUGGCCCUGGGGGAAAUCGUGAUGAGGAUCGUGAUCGGUCAUGAUGAUCUGGGCUUGUCACGAUGACAGCUUGCCUGGGAUGUGGUUUAGUGCUGUUGCUGUUGCUGCUGCUGCUGCUACUGCUGCUGUUGUUCGCAUCGAGCUCGAUUUGACAGAUCAUGCAUGAGAGAUAGAGCACUUGGCUUUCGAUUUUUCUCUUGGACUUGGCCCAACUUACCAAUGACGCGGACCCU
rnacentral:sRNA from 2 species